rnacentral:rRNA from 1 species
CCUACGGGAGGUAGCAGUAAGGAAUAUUGCGCAAUGGACGACAGUCUGACGCAGCGACGCCGCGUGGGGGACGAAGGUCUUCGGAUUGUAAACCCCUUUCGGGAGGGAAGAUGGGAUGGGGUAACCCAUUCGGACGGUACCUCCAGAAGCAGCCACGGCUAACUUCGUGCCAGCAGCCGCG